rnacentral:rRNA from 2 species
UUAAGCGACUAAGCGUACACGGUGGAUGCCCUGGCAGUCAGAGGCGAUGAAGGACGUGCUAAUCUGCGAAAAGCGUCGGUAAGGUGAUAUGAACCGUUAUAACCGGCGAUGUCCGAAUGGGGAAACCCAGUGCAAUUCGUUGCACUAUCCUUAACUGAAUACAUAGGUUAACGAGGCGAACCGGGGGAACUGAAACAUCUAAGUACCCCGAGGAAAAGAAAUCAACCGAGAUUCCCCCAGUAGCGGCGAGCGAACGGGGAGCAGCCCAGAGUCUGAAUCAGCUUGUGUGUUAGUGGAACGGUCUGGAAAGUCCGACGGUACAGGGUGAUAGUCCCGUACACCAAAAUGCACAGGCUGUGAACUCGAAGAGUAGGGCGGGACACGUGGUAUCCUGUCUGAAUAUGGGGGGGACCAUCCUCCAAGGCUAAAUACUCCUGACUGACCGAUAGUGAACCAGUACCGUGAGGGAAAGGCGAAAAGAACCCCGGCGAGGGGAGUGAAAAAGAACCUGAAACCGUGUACGUACAAGCAGUGGGAGCACCUUCGGGUGUGACUGCGUACCUUUUGUAUAAUGGGUCAGCGACUUAUAUUCUGUAGCAAGGUUAACCGUAUAGGGGAGCCGCAGGGAAACCGAGUCUUAACUGGGCGUUAAGUUGCAGGGUAUAGACCCGAAACCCGGUGAUCUAGCCAUGGGCAGGUUGAAGGUUGGGUAACACUAACUGGAGGACCGAACCGACUAAUGUUGAAAAAUUAGCGGAUGACUUGUGGCUGGGGGUGAAAGGCCAAUCAAACCGGGAGAUAGCUGGUUCUCCCCGAAAGCUAUUUAGGUAGCGCCUCGUGAAUUCAUCUUCGGGGGUAGAGCACUGUUUCGGCUAGGGGGUCAUCCCGACUUACCAACCCGAUGCAAACUACGAAUACCGAAGAAUGUUAUCACGGGAGACACACGGCGGGUGCUAACGUCCGUCGUGAAGAGGGAAACAACCCAGACCGCCAGCUAAGGUCCCAAAGUCAUGGUUAAGUGGGAAACGAUGUGGGAAGGCACAGACAGCCAGGAUGUUGGCUUAGAAGCAGCCAUCAUUUAAAGAAAGCGUAAUAGCUCACUGGUCGAGUCGGCCUGCGCGGAAGAUGUAACGGGGCUAAACCAUGCACCGAAGCUGCGGCAGCGACACUAUGUGUUGUUGGGUAGGGGAGCGUUCUGUAAGCCUGCGAAGGUGUGCUGUGAGGCAUGCUGGAGGUAUCAGAAGUGCGAAUGCUGACAUAAGUAACGAUAAAGCGGGUGAAAAGCCCGCUCGCCGGAAGACCAAGGGUUCCUGUCCAACGUUAAUCGGGGCAGGGUGAGUCGACCCCUAAGGCGAGGCCGAAAGGCGUAGUCGAUGGGAAACAGGUUAAUAUUCCUGUACUUGGUGUUACUGCGAAGGGGGGACGGAGAAGGCUAUGUUAGCCGGGCGACGGUUGUCCCGGUUUAAGCAUGUAGGCUGGUUAUCCAGGCAAAUCCGGAUAAUCAAGGCUGAGGUGUGAUGACGAGGCACUACGGUGCUGAAGUAACAAAUGCCCUGCUUCCAGGAAAAGCCUCUAAGCAUCAGGUAACAUCAAAUCGUACCCCAAACCGACACAGGUGGUCAGGUAGAGAAUACCAAGGCGCUUGAGAGAACUCGGGUGAAGGAACUAGGCAAAAUGGUGCCGUAACUUCGGGAGAAGGCACGCUGGUGUGUAGGUGAAGUCCCUGCGGAUGGAGCUGAGACCAGUCGAAGAUACCAGCUGGCUGCAACUGUUUAUUAAAAACACAGCACUGUGCAAACACGAAAGUGGACGUAUACGGUGUGACGCCUGCCCGGUGCCGGAAGGUUAAUUGAUGGGGUUAUCCGUAAGGAGAAGCUCUUGAUCGAAGCCCCGGUAAACGGCGGCCGUAACUAUAACGGUCCUAAGGUAGCGAAAUUCCUUGUCGGGUAAGUUCCGACCUGCACGAAUGGCGUAAUGAUGGCCAGGCUGUCUCCACCCGAGACUCAGUGAAAUUGAACUCGCUGUGAAGAUGCAGUGUACCCGCGGCAAGACGGAAAGACCCCGUGAACCUUUACUAUAGCUUGACACUGAACAUUGAGCCUUGAUGUGUAGGAUAGGUGGGAGGCUUUGAAGCGUGGACGCCAGUCUGCGUGGAGCCAACCUUGAAAUACCACCCUUUAAUGUUUGAUGUUCUAACGUUGGCCCCUUACCGGGGUUGCGGACAGUGUCUGGUGGGUAGUUUGACUGGGGCGGUCUCCUCCCAAAGCGUAACGGAGGAGCACGAAGGUUAGCUAAUCCUGGUCGGACAUCAGGAGGUUAGUGCAAUGGCAUAAGCUAGCUUGACUGCGAGCGUGACGGCGCGAGCAGGUGCGAAAGCAGGUCAUAGUGAUCCGGUGGUUCUGAAUGGAAGGGCCAUCGCUCAACGGAUAAAAGGUACUCCGGGGAUAACAGGCUGAUACCGCCCAAGAGUUCAUAUCGACGGCGGUGUUUGGCACCUCGAUGUCGGCUCAUCACAUCCUGGGGCUGAAGUAGGUCCCAAGGGUAUGGCUGUUCGCCAUUUAAAGUGGUACGCGAGCUGGGUUUAGAACGUCGUGAGACAGUUCGGUCCCUAUCUGCCGUGGGCGCUGGAGAAUUGAGGGGGGCUGCUCCUAGUACGAGAGGACCGGAGUGGACGCAUCACUGGUGUUCGGGUUGUCAUGCCAAUGGCACUGCCCGGUAGCUAAAUGCGGAAGAGAUAAGUGCUGAAAGCAUCUAAGCACGAAACUUGCCCCGAGAUGAGUUCUCCCUGAGACUUUAAGUCUCCUGAAGGAACGUUGAAGACGACGACGUUGAUAGGCCGGGUGUGUAAGCGCAGCGAUGCGUUGAGCUAACCGGUACUAAUGAACCGUGAGGCUUAACCUU